AUGUGAUGAUGAUGUUGUGUAUAUGUGGCAUUAUGUGUUGAACUGAACUAACAGACGUGAUCCACAGAUCCAGCUGAUCCAGCAUCAGAAACUGCUGGAUUAUUAUACAGAGUGAUUGUGAGUAUUGUUGAGAUCGCAGUGUUUGCUGCUCCUACUGUGAUUCUUCUUCAGAUCAUCUGUGCAAGAAGAGCUGGGAGGAAGGACUCGAAGCGCCCGGAGGAAAUAGAGAUGCCCACAAUAUUACAAUAAAACACGGAUGAGUUCAGAAUCUGCAGCAAUAUUUACAAUAGCAGAAACUCAGAGGAUUGUUCAUUGGUUUAUUUUCUUCUUCU